rnacentral:rRNA from 1 species
GAGACCCACGCCAACAGUUGCCAGCAUGUCCUCCGGGAUGGUGGGGACACUGUUGGGACCGCCUCUGCUAAAGAGGAGGAAGGAAUGGGCAACGGUAGGUCAGCAUGCCCCGAAUUAUCCGGGCUACACGCGGGCUACAAUGGUCAGGACAAUGGGUAUCGACACCGAGAGGUGAAGGCAAUCUCUUGAACCUGUCCUUAGUUCGGAUUGUGGGCUGCAACUCGCCCACAUGAAGCUGGAAUCCGUAGUAAUCGCGUCUCAAAAUGGCGCGGUGAAUAU